rnacentral:rRNA from 1 species
GACGAACCGUGCGAACGUUAUUCGGAAUCAUUGGGCUUAAAGGGCGCGUAGGCGGCGAUGUAAGUUGGAAGUGAAAUCCCAUCGGCUCAACCGUGGAAUCGCUCCCAGUACUGCAUUGCUCGAGGGGGAUAGGGGUCUGCGGAACUACCGGUGGAGCGGUGAAAUGUGUUGAUAUCGGUAGGAACGCCAGUGGCGAAAGCGGCAGACUAGACCCUUCCUGACGCUGCAGCGCGAAAGCUAGGGGAGCAAACGGG